GCCGGAAUAGCUCACUCAGUGUGGAGAGCGUUAGACUGAAGUUGUUUACGCAACAAUCAUCUAAAAGCCCCCGGUUCAAUCCCGGGUACCGGCA
rnacentral:tRNA from 1 species